CUUGCUCUGAUUCNGCGGCGGANGGGUGAGUAAUGCCUAGGAAUCUGCCUGGUAGUGGGGGACAACGUUUCGAAAGGAACGCUAAUACCGCAUACGUCCUACGGGAGAAAGCAGGGGACCUUCGGGCCUUGCGCUAUCAGAUGAGCCUAGGUCGGAUUAGCUAGUUGGUGAGGUAAUGGCUCACCAAGGCGACGAUCCGUAACUGGUCUGAGAGGAUGAUCAGUCACACUGGAACUGAGACACGGUCCAGACUCCUACGGGAGGCAGCAGUGGGGAAUAUUGGACAAUGGGCGAAAGCCUGAUCCAGCCAUGCCGCGUGUGUGAAGAAGGUCUUCGGAUUGUAAAGCACUUUAAGUUGGGAGGAAGGGUUGUAGAUUAAUACUCUGCAAUUUUGACGUUACCGACAGAAUAAGCACCGGCUAACUCUGUGCCAGCAGCCGCGGUAAUACAGAGGGUGCAAGCGUUAAUCGGAAUUACUGGGCGUAAAGCGCGCGUAGGUGGUUCGUUAAGUUGGAUGUGAAAUCCCCGGGCUCAACCUGGGAACUGCAUCCAAAACUGGCGAGCUAGAGUAUGGUAGAGGGUGGUGGAAUUUCCUGUGUAGCGGUGAAAUGCGUAGAUAUAGGAAGGAACACCAGUGGCGANNNCGACCACCUGGNACUGAUACUGACACUGAGGUGCGAAAGCGUGGGGGAGCAACAGGAUUANAUNNCCNNGGNAGUCCACGCCCGUAACGAUGNCAACCUANCCNNUGGGANNCUUGAGCUCUUU
rnacentral:rRNA from 1 species